GGUGGAGAAGAGGUGGAGGCUGACAGAAGAGAGUGAGCACACAUGGUGCCUUUCUUGCAUGAUGAACGAUCGAGAGGUUCAUGCUCGAAGCUAUGCGUGCUCACUUCUCUCUCUGUCAGCCGUUAGAACUCUCUCUC
rnacentral:pre_miRNA from 1 species